rnacentral:rRNA from 1 species
UAAUACGGAGGGUGCGAGCGUUAAUCGGAAUUACUGGGCGUAAAGCGCAUGCAGGUGGUUUGUUAAGUCAGAUGUGAAAGCCCGGGGCUCAACCUCGGAAUUGCAUUUGAAACUGACAAACUAGAGUACUGUAGAGGGGGGUAGAAUUUCAGGUGUAGCGGUGAAAUGCGUAGAGAUCUGAAGGAAUACCGGUGGCGAAGGCGGCCCCCUGGACAGAUACUGACACUCAGAUGCGAAAGCGUGGGGAGCAAACAGGAUUAGAUACCCUGGUAGUCCACGCCGUAAACGAUGUCUACUUGGAGGUUGUGGCCUUGAGCCGUGGCUUUCGGAGCUAACGCGUUAAGUAGACCGCCUGGGGAGUACGGUCGCAAGAUUAAAACUCAAAUGAAUUGACGGGGGCCCGCACAAGCGGUGGAGCAUGUGGUUUAAUUCGAUGCAACGCGAAGAACCUUACCUACUCUUGACAUCUACAGAAGCCAGCGGAGACGCAGGUGUGCCUUCGGGAACUGUAAGACAGGUGCUGCAUGGCUGUCGUCAGCUCGUGUUGUGAAAUGUUGGGUUAAGUCCCGCAACGAGCGCAAUCCUUAUCCUUGUUUGCCAGCACUUCGGGUGGGAACUCCAGGGAGACUGCCGGUGAUAAACCGGAGGAAGGUGGGGACGACGUCAAGUCAUCAUGGCCCUUACGAGUAGGGCUACACACGUGCUACAAUGGCGCAUACAGAGGGCGGCCAACUUGCGAAAGUGAGCGAAUCCCAAAAAGUGCGUCGUAGUCCGGAUUGGAGUCUGCAACUCGACUCCAUGAAGUCGGAAUCGCUAGUAAUCGUGGAUCAGAAUGCCACGGUGAAUACGUUCCCGGGCCUUGUACACACCGCCCGUCACACCAUGGGAGUGGGCUGCAAAAGAAGUGGGUAGUUUAACCUUCGGGAGGACGCUCACCACUUUGUGGUUCAUGACUGGGGUGAAGUCGUAACAAGGGAACCG